GAGCGAACAGAUAAGGAGCUUGCUCCUUUGACGUUAGCGGCGGACGGGUGAGUAACACGUGGAUAACCUACCUAUAAGACUGGGAUAACUUCGGGAAACCGGAGCUAAUACCGGAUAAGAUUUUGAACCGCAUGGUUCAAUAGUGAAAGACGGCCUUGCUGUCACUUAUAGAUGGAUCCGCGCCGUAUUAGCUAGUUGGUAAGGUAACGGCUUACCAAGGCAACGAUACGUAGCCGACCUGAGAGGGUGAUCGGCCACACUGGAACUGAGACACGGUCCAGACUCCUACGGGAGGCAGCAGUAGGGAAUCUUCCGCAAUGGGCGAAAGCCUGACGGAGCAACGCCGCGUGAGUGAUGAAGGUCUUCGGAUCGUAAAACUCUGUUAUCAGGGAAGAACAAACGUGUAAGUAACUGUGCACGUCUUGACGGUACCUGAUCAGAAAGCCACGGCUAACUACGUGC
rnacentral:rRNA from 1 species